UACGUAGGGUGCAAGCGUUAAUCGGAAUUACUGGGCGUAAAGCGUGCGCAGGCGGUUUUGUAAGUCUGUCGUGAAAUCCCCGGGCUCAACCUGGGAAUUGCGAUGGAGACUGCAAGGCUAGAAUCUGGCAGAGGGGGGUAGAAUUCCACGUGUAGCAGUGAAAUGCGUAGAGAUCAGGAGGAACACCCGUGGCGAAGGCGGGCGACCCUGG
rnacentral:rRNA from 1 species